AUCAUAGUUUGGCCCGACCCGCAUGGAAGGCUGCACCCACUUGAUCCGACCCAAUCCAUAAACUUUGGAUUGUGUCGAACUCGUUAUUUUUACUCGCAUGCUUGUUCUAUAUUGAAUAUUCAUUUUCCUUUAGCUUUGACCCCCCCCCCUCUCUCUCUCUCUCUCUCUCUCUCUCUGAGUACUAUGCUCAUCCCCAUUCCAUAGAUCGCUAUCUUGCAGAGGAGUACAAAAGUGCUACAUACUAGGAUUUGAUUUCUUCACGUUCUCACCUUUCCUUUUGUUGUAGCCUCCCUAAGGGCACUCAGAUUCCUUUGGAAAAACGAGGAGAAACCCAGGUGGUGGGUGGUGGUGUGGCAGCGAAGAAGAAGAAGAGGAAGAACUGCGGCUAUGGUUUGAGGAGAAGGAAAAACAGGCAAUCAGUUUCGACCAACUUUGAGAGCUGUUAAGCCUAAUUUGGUGUCCAACUCGAUCAACCAGAUUUUAUUCGGACGGAAUCAAUCGGGUGUUUCGGUUAGGAUCAGAUCAAGGCCAUUUUGCACAGAACUAGUCACGGGCAUGCUGAAGGCAUGUUGAACACUAGGAAUUCCACAGACAAUGCCAACUAUUAAGGAUGUGUUUCACACCCUAGAAUUGCAACUGCUCUUGGGAAUUCCUCCUCUUGUACCUAGGGACAAGAAAACUUGGCAGACAUUCCAACUCGAGGACACCUACGAUGCUAAAGUUAGUAUCUCAUGAGAAUAUUCACAUGUAUGAAUACUUUAAGAGAAUUGAUCAUGGCCCCUCUCCUCCCCCCUUUUAGCUCUUGUUUCAUACCUUUUAAUAUCCCUUGCACCCUCUGAGGGUCGAGUCCCCUCUGCUAUAGAUCAACAGACUUUAUUAACCGCCAUCUGGGGGGUUCAUACUAUUGCAUUUAAUGCAGUAACCCUUCUUAUAUUGAA